rnacentral:rRNA from 1 species
UCGAACGGACCCUUCGGGGUUAGUGGCGGACGGGUGAGUAACACGUGGGAACGUGCCUUUUGGUUCGGGACAAGCCGGGGAAACCUGGUCUAAUACCGGAUAAGCCCUUCGGGGAAAGAUUUAUCGCCAUUAGAGCGGCCCGCGUUGGAUUAGCUAGUUGGUGAGGUAAAGGCUCACCAAGGCUACGAUCCAUAGCUGGUCUGAGAGGAUGAUCAGCCACACUGGGACUGAGACACGGCCCAG